UGGGGAAUAUUGGACAAUGGGCGAAAGCCUGAUCCAGCCAUGCCGCGUGUGUGAAGAAGGUCUUCGGAUUGUAAAGCACUUUAAGUUGGGAGGAAGGGCAGUAAGCGAAUACCUUGCUGUUUUGACGUUACCGACAGAAUAAGCACCGGCUAACUCUGUGCCAGCAGCCGCGGUAAUACAGAGGGUGCAAGCGUUAAUCGGAAUUACUGGGCGUAAAGCGCGCGUAGGUGGUUCGUUAAGUUGAAUGUGAAAGCCCCGGGCUCAACCUGGGAACUGCAUCCAAAACUGGCGAGCUAGAGUAGGGCAGAGGGUGGUGGAAUUUCCUGAGUAGCGGUGAAAUGCGUAGAUAUAGGAAGGAACACCAGUGGCGAAGGCGACCACCUGGGCUCAUACUGACACUGAGGUGCGAAAGCGUGGGGAGCAAACAGG
rnacentral:rRNA from 1 species